rnacentral:misc_RNA from 1 species
GAAAUGCGAUAAGUAGUGUGAAUUGCAGAAUUCAGUGAAUCAUCGAAUCUUUGAACGCACAUUGCGCCCACUGGUAUUCCGGUGGGCAUGCCUGUUCGAACGUCAUCAAACCCCUCAGCAAGAGCCCUUUUGGCCUCUCUGCUGGUCCUGCCUCAGGCCCCAGCCCUCGCGGCGACGGCCGAGGUGAAACCCAAUGAUGCUGACAGCCGUGUUGUCUUCGUGUAGUAAAUCUUUUCUCAUGGAAGCAGCUCCGGUUCGUCCAGCCAACUAGACCCCAACAUUCAAGCGUUUGACUUCGGAUCAGGUAGGGAUACCCGCUGAACUUAA